GCCUGGCUGGCUUAGUGGGUAGAGCGUGUGAUUCUUGAUCUCAGGGACAUGAGUUUAAAUCCUGUGCUGGGCA
rnacentral:tRNA from 1 species